rnacentral:lncRNA from 1 species
AUGGGCCAGGGUUUCAUAUUUUUAGACUUGGGCUCACUGGUUUCCUUCCCUUUUUGGAAAGGAUUUGGUUGACUCCCAGAAUUGAGGAUGUCGCCAGGGUCCCUACAUUAUCUUUGCUAUUUUAUUUCUUCUUACGUAGUGUAGGGUGUACUGCUAGAUGUGCUUUAGUUUGUUAGCUUAAAAAUGUUGAAUUGUUUAUGUAAUGGCUCUAUCAGACAGCUCAUACAAGCAGGUCAUUAUGUGUUAUUUUGUUGAAUUUCAAUAAUGGACACCGUGUGAUUGAC